AGAGCGGGGAGGAGUUUGCGAGGGGAGGCGCUUGGGAGGACUCCCCCAGUUCUGUUAAGAGCUGGGCACAAAGAGCCCUUUGCACUCCAGCCGCAGGAGCGAGGAGGAGCCGAGACCUGGGGCGUCCAGCGCAGCCUCAAACCCAGGGCAUCUCUGCACUCUCAUCGCGACGUCGCUCUGGAUGCUGUUUGCAUAUCCUUGGGGAGUCACUGCUUUGGCACAACAGUCCUGCGAGGUGCUGGAAUUCCGUCUGUUCUCAUCACACGGACAUGGCUGAUCUGUCUCAGUGGUACCUGGGGGCAAAGCAGGGAGCCGGGCGGUGGAGGCCAACAUUGUUACCAAGUUGGCUCUGUCUCAACACAGGGACUGAGCCUUCUGAGCCUCAAGAGUUCCUGCUGGUUCCCAGGUGGUGGAAGAGUGGAGAGAUUUGGGAAAGGUCACGACUAGCCUGCAAAGCAGCCUUGCAGAUAAGUAUCAUUUCACCAGCCUGCCUGCUCUCUGCUGGUGCGUGUGAGAAAGGGUCAGCUCUGGAAUCCCCAACGGGAGGGAGGAUGGCCGUCCUGUGACUCUGGCUCUUGAAGAUGUCAUUUGUAAGCUUGAACAGGCUCCUGGGUCUUGCAGACACAGGGGGACCUCCUCAGGGUUCCUCCACUCAGGAUCCUCCAGGAUCCUGGGACAGUAGGCUCUAAGAGCAGCUAUGAGAUGUCUCACCUUCCUUGGCUCGGGGUUUGGAGGACAGAUGUAGCAUGACUGUCAGGAAAGAGCAAACCUGAGUCCUGGUGUGGAAUGCAGGCACUCCCUUCUCUCUUCCACCACCCUGGUGACUUGCAGUGGUCCACACAAGCUCUGCACACUUUGGCCACCUGUUUUUUUGUUGUGGGAGUCACAGGAAGGAGGGGACUGAGGUGGGCAGAGGGCUGCUUUCAUUUCUCAACCAUGCCUUGAAUGGCCACUAUAGUUCCCUUGUGGGACAGGGCAGGGAUCAGAGAGAGGCACAGGCUUCCAGCAGCCGGGACAGUUCUAAGCUUAGAGUUCUAGAUCCCCCUCUGUCAGCACUGCUCACCCUGUUGUCCCCUAUCUGCCCAGUUUACUUUGAGUUUUUCUGGGUCACACAAGAACCCACAAUGCUCUAGGUGACAGAGGAGGAGGAGGAGGAGGCAAAUGGCUCCUGAGCCAAGGCAGGGCUUGUGCAAGGUCAUCUCCUGGGGUGCAUCUUGUGUGUGUGUGUGUGUGGGGGGGGGUAGCUCUUCUGUCUUCCAGAGUCAUCCAGUGAUGUCUGUGUGGAGGAGGAGCUAGGAGCUAGGCCUUCCAUGAUGUCGAUGAUGUAAUGAUGUCAGGUGGUACUGCUGGGUGUCCAGGGGUGAACGCCAGAGAGAUGGCCCACCCUCUGUGAUCUUCAAGUACGACAAUGCAUCACUACAGCUCAGCAAGCGGACAGCUCUGCACAUCUCCAGACCCUGAUCUGUCUUGGAGCCCUGGAGAUCCCUUGGAUUCUGACCUCCUGGAACUGGGGAGCAACCUGUCUCCCUGAAGACCCUAUCCUUCCCAGUACCUGAGAUGGACCCUCCACCCCCCGAAGAAGAGCCAUUCCUGGAAGAUGUACUACUUAGGAGUCACCCUGUCUUUCAUGGACAGCUCCAGGGGGUUGGGGGGAGGCUGCAGCUUAGAAUGGGGGGGGGCACCGGAGGCCUCUUUUCAUCCCAUGUGGACUGGAAUCCUCCAGUCUCUGGAAAUGGGGUGGAGCUAGGCCCCCUCCUGGCCACAGGGUGGUGUCUCAAAGGACCUGUGGGUAGGGCAGGGACUCUAUAGGCUCAGAGGAGGAGCUGAUGGGGAGGAGUCCAAUGUCUGUCUUUGUCUGUUUUUCUUUCUUUCUUUCUUUUUUCCGUUUCCAUUCCUUUUCUUUUUUUGUCUGUUUGCUGCUUGAGUGAUGAGUCUGUUUGGGUGUUUCCUGGGGUGAGGCUUAGCUCCCUGCUGGUUGUGGGAAGAGGACAGCCAGCCAGUCCUGGUCUGGGAGGAGCCUGGCUAGCCCCUGUGCUAUUCAGCACAGGAAGGAACCUUGGAAAGAGAAAGGGGGCAGUCUAAGAUAAGGAGACCUAGUAGGGAGGUUCACAGGCAGAACCAUAGCCCCAGCUUCCUCUAGUCACUGGAGAAUGGGCUGCACCCAGUCAGUUACAAAGGCUUUGCCCAGGACAUGGGAGUGCCCAGCCUGUACCCCAAUCCAUAUUGCAUAGCUGCAGAGGGACAGAGGCUGGCACAUACUCCCUCCUCAGGGCCCAGUGCCCAGUAUAACCUGUCCGUUCUUCGCCUCUUGUCAUAGCCCUGGAGGAGGGUCUACAACCAGCAACGGAGCACUGUAUGGCCUUCCUUGGGACAGUCUAGAAACAGGAAUCCCUUGACUGGGGUAGGGGUGGGGCAGUUGCUUAUUCUGCGUCCUGGCCUGUGGUGCUCAGCCCCAGAGACUCACACCACAGGACUUGAGGCUGGCAAAACAAGACCAAGGUGCCAGCGGUAGCUUAUG
rnacentral:lncRNA from 1 species